AGAUUUUUCGGCGAGUCUGUAGGUCCGUUGAUUCCGGUGAAUUUUUCUGCACAAAGGUUUUGAGUUUUUGUUUUCAAGUAUGAAAAUGUCGAUCUACUAAGGAUUAGAGCUUUGACCCGAGGUGUUUCUAUUCGUCAAUUCCCGUUUAAGUUUCCAGCGCCUCUGAAGUUUUCCGGUCCCGGCUUUUGAUUGUAUCACUGUCACUAUAAUUAAAAAUCCCAUCCCAGGUCCAUUCUUCCCCUGUUAUCUCUUUGUUAUUUCCCU
rnacentral:lncRNA from 1 species